rnacentral:lncRNA from 1 species
CCAAAUGCUGUGUUUAUAAGUUUGUGACAUCAUACCCAGCUCUCAAGUUAGGAUAAACCCAGUUCAAAUCAGAUCUGAAAAUCUGGAUCCUCAAAGUGUAUGAAGCAUCAAAGUCAGAAGCAGCAGCCAAUUCCAUCCCGGCUUUGACAACCCAAGAGGAGAGGCAGCAUGCACAGGAGGUGGGGCUUUUCUGGGCCCUCCCAGGAAGGAAGCUCUGCUCUUCUCUUCACCAGCUGUGCCGGACUCCACAGUGCUUUUUCUGCUCCCAGUGGGCGAGGCUGAGUCAUCGGGCGCCUGGCUGGCGUCUUCUCUGUAUUUGUCUGUGUGUGCAGAAAACGCUGUAGGAGAGCCCUUGUCACCGAGUUCAGCUUUGAUGGCACUGUCUUUCCCAUCUCUAGCAUCCACCACUCGGUGGUAGGCUCUCGCCGUGCUCUGGUAGGAGUGCCUGUUGGUGCAGGUCAGCACGUGUUCGUCCAGCAGCUUUUCACAGCUAAAGCCAAACCCACAACUGUCACAGGUAAAACUCCGUCCAAAGCGUCGCGACACACGUUCUUUUGGAGUAGAUAACUUGGACACGGAACUUUUUUUACACACGUCAAACAGUGGCUCAGGAAAGUUGGCCAACGGUAAAGACUCCUCCUCAGGCUCUCUGUUAUGUGGCGUAUUCACCGUUGAACUGGGCUCCGCACUCCACCGGUUGGCUUCACUGCCGUUUCUAGCCACUGUGUCUUCAUACAUCCUCACCCCAAAGAUCAUCUUGCUGUUGUGUUUGCUGGAGGCGGAAGACGAGCACUUCGAGCUGGAACAGUCUGAGUCCUGUAUAUCUUCUAAGCAGUCAGGAACAUUGUAGAGCUGGAGGUAGUUCAUAGCCACUUUGAACUGCUCAAAACUGGAAGGAGCGGUCAGAAUCUUCCCUAAAUACAUGAACUGCAAAAUG